rnacentral:rRNA from 1 species
CCUACGGGAGGCAGCAGUGGGGAAUAUUGGACAAUGGGGGGAACCCUGAUCCAGCGACGCCGCGUGAGUGAAGAAGUAUUUCGGUAUGUAAAGCUCUAUCAGCAGGGAAGAAAGAAAUGACGGUACCUGACUAAGAAGCCCCGGCUAACUACGUGCCAGCAGCCGCGGGAAUACGUAGGGGGCAAGCGUUAUCCGGAUUUACUGGGUGUAAAGGGAGCGUAGACGGCGAUGCAAGUCUGAAGUGAAAGGCGGGGGCCCAACCCCCGGACUGCUUUGGAAACUGUAUGGCUGGAGUGCAGGAGAGGUAAGUGGAAUGCCUAGUGUAGCGGUGAAAUGCGUAGAUAUUAGGCGGAACACCAGUGGCGAAGGCGGCUUACUGGACUGUAACUGACGUUGAGGCUCGAAAGCGUGGGGAGCAAACAGGAUUAGAUACCCUAGUAGUC